rnacentral:rRNA from 1 species
UACGAGGGGUGCGAGCGUUGCUCGGAAUUAUUGGGCGUAAAGGGUAGGUAGGUGGUCUUAUUUGUCUGGGGUGAAAUCCCUGAGCUUAACUCAGGAAGGGCCUUAGAAACGGUAGGACUAGAGUUCCAGAGGGGUUUGUAGAAUUCCCGGUGUAGCGGUGAAAUGCGUAGAGAUCGGGAGGAAUACCAGCGGCGAAGGCGGCAAACUGGAUGGACACUGACACUCAACUACGAAAGCGUGGGGAUCAAACAGG